UAAACUCGAUGUCCUAGUGAAGGUGCAUAAGUGUGAGGUUAAAUAAGAUAAGUUAGAUAAAAAUUGUGUGUUCAAUACAAUAAUAAGUGAAAUUUGUUUAUUGAUUCAAAAAAUUGAGUGCAAAUUAUAUCAAACUUAAAUUGAAGCCUAGAAAAUUUAGGUAAGAACCAGGAUUAGAUACCCUGCUACUCUAAUAGGAGCAAAUAGUGUAAGACUUGAGUAUUAGUAAUAAAUUAAUUUUAAAUUCAAAGAACCUGGCGGUACUUUAGUCUAGUUGGAGGAACCUGUUUUAUAAACGAUAAACCACGUAGAAUCUUUCUUGUUCUUGUAUAGCUAGUAUACCUUCAUUACAGAUAAUUUUUAUUGAUUAAUUAUUGAAAUUGGUUCCCAACCGAGAAAAUUAGAUCAAGGUGCUGCAAAUGGACAAGUAAAAAUGGGUUACAAUGGUUUUUGACGUUAAGCGGAUUAUAUUCAGGAUGAGUAUAUGAAGAUGGAUUCAAUUGUAAUUUUAACUUUAAUAAGGUAAAAUGGUAUUAGCUCUAAAGUGUGUACAUAUUGCCCGUCGCUUUCAUUAAAUCAAAUGAGAUAAG
rnacentral:rRNA from 1 species